GGAUUUGGCUCAGUGGUAGAGCGCUUGCCUAGCAAGCACAAGGUCCUGGGUUCGGUCCCCAGCUCCA
rnacentral:tRNA from 1 species